UACACUCCUACGGGAGGCAGCAGUGGGGAAUUUUGGACAAUGGGCGAAAGCCUGAUCCAGCAAUGCCGCGUGAGUGAAGAAGGCCUUCGGGUUGUAAAGCUCUUUUGUCAGGGAAGAAACGGUGAGAGCUAAUAUCUCUUGCUAAUGACGGUACCUGAAGAAUAAGCACCGGCUAACUACGUGCCAGCAGCCGCGGUAAUACGUAGGGUGCAAGCGUUAAUCGGAAUUACUGGGCGUAAAGCGUGCGCAGGCGGUUUUGUAAGUCUGAUGUGAAAUCCCCGGGCUCAACCUGGGAAUUGCAUUGGAGACUGCAAGGCUAGAAUCUGGCAGAGGGGGGUAGAAUUCCACGUGUAGCAGUGAAAUGCGUAGAUAUGUGGAGGAACACCGAUGGCGAAGGCAGCCCCCUGGGUCAAGAUUGACGCUCAUGCACGAAAGCGUGGGGAGCAAACAGGAUUAGAAACCCCGGUAGUCCCAUGA
rnacentral:rRNA from 1 species